rnacentral:rRNA from 1 species
AUUGAACGCUGGCGGCAUGCUUUACACAUGCAAGUCGAACGGUAACAGGCCGCAAGGUGCUGACGAGUGGCGAACGGGUGAGUAAUGCAUCGGAACGUGCCCAGUCGUGGGGGAUAACGCAGCGAAAGCUGCGCUAAUACCGCAUACGAUCUAUGGAUGAAAGCGGGGGACCGUAAGGCCUCGCGCGAUUGGAGCGGCCGAUGUCAGAUUAGGUAGUUGGUGGGGUAAAGGCUCACCAAGCCAACGAUCUGUAGCUGGUCUGAGAGGACGACCAGCCACACUGGGACUGAGACACGGCCCAGACUCCUACGGGAGGCAGCAGUGGGGAAUUUUGGACAAUGGGCGCAAGCCUGAUCCAGCAAUGCGGCGUGCAGGAAGAAGGCCUUCGGGUUGUAAACUGCUUUUGUACGGAACGAAACGGUCCUGGUUAAUACCUGGGGCUAAUGACGGUACCGUAAGAAUAAGCACCGGCUAACUACGUGCCAGCCGCCGCGGUAA